AACCAAACCAGCACCUGUUCAUUAAGAACUUCUCACAAACAGGUCACUAUUCCAUCCAUGGCAGCAACAUAUAGUAGGUUUUGGAAUCAAUGCAGUGGGGUCAAGAUCAGCAUUUUGAAAACUGAAGAGAAGAGAUUAUUCAAAAAGGAAAGUAUGAGCAUGGAUCUCACCGUUACACACAUAUGUAAUUCAAGAGAAGGCUGCAUGGAUUUUUCUAGCUGCAUAACUCCUGUGAUGGAUGAUAACAGAUGGAACACUUGGAAAUAA
rnacentral:lncRNA from 1 species